rnacentral:lncRNA from 12 species
AUGAAGGGGGGCCAUGUGCUGCUCUACAGUCAGAGAGAUAGGGUGGGAUUUCACAGGCUAGCAGCACAUGCUCUCACCACUCUGAGAGCUGAAAGACAUAUAGUGCAUGUGUGUGGAUGCAUGUGUGUUUGCAGUAAAAAGCCCUGGCGUCUUGGGACUGUCGCUUUUGAGGAAAAAACAAGACAAUAUGAUGACAGAGGGGGGUCCCAGGCCACUACCACUGCCAAAGAAGCUGUUCUACUUUUUCAAUUGUUUUUUCCCCUCUCGCCCUCUGCCCCUGGUGGGAAAGUAUUUAGGACUUUAGGUCUGUGACAAAUAAAAAUGUCAUCCCUGCUCAAGUCUGCCGUGAUUGUUUGUGGGCAAACUGGUGCUUGGAGGUCUUGAGAUGUUGCCUUACAGUGAGAGAAGAUGCUGGGAAUGGCUCCAUCCUUGGUCAAGCCCAAGUUCUGGAACACCGCUGGCCUUUUCUUAACAAUACCACUUGCUGCACAGGGGGUCCCUUCGAACCCAGAGCUCAAACAAAUUCACAUAGAAACACCAUUGUACAGUAAAAGCCUUUUGAAUACGACCACCAACUGACGCAUCUCAUCUCAGUUUAAGGGGGGAGGAGAGUGUCUGGAGAAAAGUGACUCAAAAACAAGUAACAAUGAAAAGGAACUGUGUAUGAGGAGGAAAUGUGUAUAUUUGGAAUAGUGGAAAAAUACACACACACACACACAAAAAAAAAGAAAUGCCAUUUUUUUUUUUUUUUUACUAAACCAACUGCGCUUUUGGAAAAUAGCAGUAUACGUAAAGCAUGCAUCACUAGAGAGUUGAUGGGAGGGGCACAUUUUUGUUUUGAAACGACCAAUUUUGAAAUACGACGUAAUAUAGGCAAGUGGAUUAGGCUAAAACUGUACUGUUUUCUUGCUUUGUUAUGUUAAAAAAGAGCCAUGUUCACACCUAUGCGAAAUCUUUCUGUCGGAAAAUGUUCACAGAGCACAAAGCAUGGAGCAAAACACUUUAGAAAAUAAUUGUAACUUGGCAUCGGAUGUUCAGCUUAUCAGUUAAGCAUAAAAACUACAAAAAAAUCAUCUCACUUUUUGCAAGCAUAUUUAUAGAGCCAAGGGCAAAUGUUGUUCCACCUUUUAACCUUUUUAUUUC